rnacentral:rRNA from 1 species
AAAUUGAAGAGUUUGAUCAUGGCUCAGAUUGAACGCUGGCGGCAGGCCUAACACAUGCAAGUCGAACGGUAACAGGAAGCAGCUUGCUGCUUCGCUGACGAGUGGCGGACGNNNNNNNNNNNNNNNNNNNNNNNNNNNNNNNNNNNNNNNNNNNNNNNNNNNNNNNNNNNNNNNNNNNNNNNNCUGACGAGUGGCGGACGGGUGAGUAAUGUCUGGGAAACUGCCUGAUGGAGGGGGAUAACUACUGGAAACGGUAGCUAAUACCGCAUAACGUCGCAAGACCAAAGAGGGGGACCUUCGGGCCUCUUGCCAUCGGAUGUGCCCAGAUGGGAUUAGCUUGUUGGUGGGGUAACGGCUCACCAAGGCGACGAUCCCUAGCUGGUCUGAGAGGAUGACCAGCCACACUGGAACUGAGACACGGUCCAGACUCCUACGGGAGGCAGCAGUGGGGAAUAUUGCACAAUGGGCGCAAGCCUGAUGCAGCCAUGCCGCGUGUAUGAAGAAGGCCUUCGGGUUGUAAAGUACUUUCAGCGGGGAGGAAGGGAGUAAAGUUAAUACCUUUGCUCAUUGACGUUACCCGCAGAAGAAGCACCGGCUAACUCCGUGCCAGCAGCCGCGGUAAUACGGAGGGUGCAAGCGUUAAUCGGAAUUACUGGGCGUAAAGCGCACGCAGGCGGUUUGUUAAGUCAGAUGUGAAAUCCCCGGGCUCAACCUGGGAACUGCAUCUGAUACUGGCAAGCUUGAGUCUCGUAGAGGGGGGUAGAAUUCCAGGUGUAGCGGUGAAAUGCGUAGAGAUCUGGAGGAAUACCGGUGGCGAAGGCGGCCCCCUGGACGAAGACUGACGCUCAGGUGCGAAAGCGUGGGGAGCAAACAGGAUUAGAUACCCUGGUAGUCCACGCCGUAAACGAUGUCGACUUGGAGGUUGUGCCCUUGAGGCGUGGCUUCCGGAGCUAACGCGUUAAGUCGACCGCCUGGGGAGUACGGCCGCAAGGUUAAAACUCAAAUGAAUUGACGGGGGCCCGCACAAGCGGUGGAGCAUGUGGUUUAAUUCGAUGCAACGCGAAGAACCUUACCUGGUCUUGACAUCCACAGAACUUUCCAGAGAUGGAUUGGUGCCUUCGGGAACUGUGAGACAGGUGCUGCAUGGCUGUCGUCAGCUCGUGUUGUGAAAUGUUGGGUUAAGUCCCGCAACGAGCGCAACCCUUAUCCUUUGUUGCCAGCGGUCCGGCCGGGAACUCAAAGGAGACUGCCAGUGAUAAACUGGAGGAAGGUGGGGAUGACGUCAAGUCAUCAUGGCCCUUACGACCAGGGCUACACACGUGCUACAAUGGCGCAUACAAAGAGAAGCGACCUCGCGAGAGCAAGCGGACCUCAUAAAGUGCGUCGUAGUCCGGAUUGGAGUCUGCAACUCGACUCCAUGAAGUCGGAAUCGCUAGUAAUCGUGGAUCAGAAUGCCACGGUGAAUACGUUCCCGGGCCUUGUACACACCGCCCGUCACACCAUGGGAGUGGGUUGCAAAAGAAGUAGGUAGCUUAACCUUCGGGAGGGCGCUUACCACUUUGUGAUUCAUGACUGGGGUGAAGUCGUAACAAGGUAACCGUAGGGGAACCUGCGGUUGGAUCACCUCCUUA